rnacentral:rRNA from 1 species
GGCCGCGGGAAUUCCUUUCAGGCCUAACACAUGCAAGUCGAGCGGUAGAGAGAAGCUUGCUUCUCUUGAGAGCGGCGGACGGGUGAGUAAUGCCUAGGAAUCUGCCUGGUAGUGGGGGAUAACGUUCGGAAACGGACGCUAAUACCGCAUACGUCCUACGGGAGAAAGCAGGGGACCUUCGGGCCUUGCGCUAUCAGAUGAGCCUAGGUCGGAUUAGCUAGUUGGUGAGGUAAUGGCUCACCAAGGCGACGAUCCGUAACUGGUCUGAGAGGAUGAUCAGUCACACUGGAACUGAGACACGGUCCAGACUCCUACGGGAGGCAGCAGUGGGGAAUAUUGGACAAUGGGCGAAAGCCUGAUCCAGCCAUGCCGCGUGUGUGAAGAAGGUCUUCGGAUUGUAAAGCACUUUAAGUUGGGAGGAAGGGCAGUUACCUAAUACGUGAUUGUUUUGACGUUACCGACAGAAUAAGCACCGGCUAACUCUGUGCCAGCAGCCGCGGUAAUACAGAGGGUGCAAGCGUUAAUCGGAAUUACUGGGCGUAAAGCGCGCGUAGGUGGUUAGUUAAGUUGGAUGUGAAAUCCCCGGGCUCAACCUGGGAACUGCAUUCAAAACUGACUGACUAGAGUAUGGUAGAGGGUGGUGGAAUUUCCUGUGUAGCGGUGAAAUGCGUAGAUAUAGGAAGGAACACCAGUGGCGAAGGCGACCACCUGGACUGAUACUGACACUGAGGUGCGAAAGCGUGGGUAGCAAACAGGAUUAGAUACCCUGGUAGUCCACGCCGUAAACGAUGUCAACUA